rnacentral:rRNA from 1 species
UUCGGUGGCUUUAGCGGAGAGGGUACACCCGUUCCCAUCUCGAACACGGAAGUUAAGCUCUCCAGCGCCGAUGGUACUGCAUGAUUACAUGUGGGAGAGUAGGACGCCGCCGAUU